UUGAGAUCAAAGAGAGAGCUACAUGUAGCGACGUGCAAAUUUGUACAUCUGUCCUUUGCUAGUUAGUGAAUUAUUAGCCCAGUUAAAGAUACUUUGUAGUCAGCAAUGAUGGGAGUGAUUGCUUCCUACAAGAGCACAAAACAUGUGCAUUUCUACCCAUCUUUGAAAAGUGAAUCGGCCAUUCCUGGAGUGAGUGCAACAGAAGAGACAGGCAUGCAUCCUUUCGUCAACAUCGGGAGAUAAAGACUUUAUGUUCCCGGAAUAACAUGGAGUCAGGACCACAAAGCAGACUGAAAAAAGCCUGGAGAUAAUGGUUUCAGAAUGAUUCAUACACAUAAAACAUGUUGUUUAUAGAAAGUUUGUUUUGGGAUAGACUCAACUGCUGUUUUGACUCGGAUAGGAGCCUUAAACGUAUUCAAGAAGUUCAUCACUUCCAGUAUUCAAUUUUUCUUCUAGUUGUGUUUUCAUAUCAGCACUCAGAUAUUUCGCAACCAUUGCCCAUUUCUCGUUACGGCAGGAAAUAUAUCAACACUUUGGACUAAAUCAGCAACUUUCUCACAUAUAUAACAUUUGGUUUUAUUCACCUUGAUUUCAGUGUUCUGUUCAAACAGUUUAGGCAGCCAAGAGUAUCCAAGGAUCCAAGGAUAUCCCUACUUUUAAGCACAUUCAUCUGUUACCUUUUUUCCUAUCAUUGAACGACAUGGUACAUAUUGUAUUACACAAGUUAAGAUUGUUCAUGGAAUAUAUAAUGAUUGCUCAACACAAUUCUGUUUACAAACCCGAGGGAUGCAAUUACAUGUCACAUCAGUAACUCAAAUAAUUUGUAACAUGGUAAUUCAGAAUCCUCAGAGGACAAUAUGCUCAGGGGAAUGAGUCAAGAAUAACAUAACCUGUAGGAACAACCUAAUAAAAAAGACCUCAUUACUGUACGUCCUAUUUCCAUAUUUCAGAUAGCUGUUUUUAGUCAUCUCCAAUAAAUUACUUGAAUACAUGAUUAGUCUUCACGCUCAUUGAAGGGAGAA